GACGUAGGGUGCAAGCGUUGUCCGGAAUUAUUGGGCGUAAAGAGUUCGUAGGCGGUUAUUUAAGUCUGGUGUUAAAGACGGGAGCUCAACUCCCGCAUGGCAUUGGAAACUGGAUAGCUAGAGUACGGUAGAGGUCUCGGGAAUUCCAGGUGUAGCGGUGAAAUGCGUAGAUAUCUGGAGGAACACCGGUGGCGAAAGCGGCAUCCUGGACCGGCAUUGACGCUGAGGCGCGAAAGCCAGGGGAGCAAACGGG
rnacentral:rRNA from 1 species